rnacentral:rRNA from 1 species
AAUAGAUACCCGGGUAGUCCACGCCGUAAACGAUGAGUGCUAAGUGUUAGGGGGUUUCCGCCCCUUAGUGCUGCAGCUAACGCAUUAAGCACUCCGCCUGGGGAGUACGGUCGCAAGACUGAAACUCAAAGGAAUUGGCGGGGGCCCGCACAAGCGGUGGAGCAUGUGGUUUAAUUCGAAGCAACGCGAAGAACCUUACCAGGUCUUGACAUCCCAUUGACCACUAUGGAGACAUAGUUUUCCCUUCGGGGACAACGGUGACAGGUGGUGCAUGGUUGUCGUCAGCUCGUGUCGUGAGAUGUUGGGUUAAGUCCCGCAACGAGCGCAACCCUUGUUCUUAGUUGCCAUCAUUUAGUUGGGCACUCUAAGGAGACUGCCGGUGACAAACCGGAGGAAGGUGGGGAUGACGUCAAAUCAUCAUGCCCCUUAUGACCUGGGCUACACACGUGCUACAAUGGACGGUACAAACGGUUGCCAACCCGCGAGGGGGAGCUAAUCCGAUAAAACCGUUCUCAGUUCGGAUUGUAGGCUGCAACUCGCCUACAUGAAGCC